GGCCUGGUGGUGUAGUGGUAAUCCCGCCGCUGGAUCUUUGGCGAGUCCAAUCUAUAUGUCUCGCGGAACCCUGGGUUCGAUUCCCAGCCAGGCCU